rnacentral:lncRNA from 1 species
CACGUUCAGUGGUCGGCUUCUGAGGGCCUCAAGCUAAGAUACCUUAUCUUGGGCUCAGAAGGUCUCUGCAGUUCAGUGAAGGAGUCAGCAAGACAAGCAAUGGAAUGAGCUACUUACGACAAUGCAGAGUGGGGUCUCUGUAACUAUAAGAAACAAAGCCGGCCAUCAUCUUGCAGAUGAGUGUUUGUCAAGGGCCCUGCUUAGCCAUGGCUUUGUUGGAAACACUGAGGAAAACUUCCCCACGGCAUUGGUUUUCCUCUGUGGUAAGGUCCAUGUGGUGAGGGUCUCUCCAUGGUCUUCCUGAAAAAGAUGGCAGAUAGCUCAUCAGGACUAACCUGCGACCUAACUGACUUUGGGAGCCUGAGGCCUCUGGCCUCCUUUUUGUUCCCUGGGGACCACAGCCAUGGCACCAGCUGCAGUUAUCCUG